AUGGCGCGAUCCGGCCCAGCCACAAUGCUAAACUCGACGUCUGACAAAGCUUUGACUGAUACUACGAUGUCGAGGCCCAUAACUAUUCUCGCGUGGUGGUUAGUGCGUAAAGGCCAAAGGCCAACUCAGAACAAACACCCAAACCAUAGUGUAUUAUUAGCUUGCGGAGACGAGCAAAGAUUCACGCUCGAUGUGACCCCAUCUCGUGGACUUACGGCAAGGGUGCAGAAUGCCCGGCCGUGCCACGUAAUUAUCUUGCGGGUGCUCUCCAGGCCCGCCCGACUUUCACAAAUGUCUCAAGUAAAGUCAAGGUAA
rnacentral:rRNA from 1 species